AGAGUUUGAUCAUGGCUCAGAACGAACGCUGGCGGCAUGCCUAACACAUGCAAGUCGAACGAGACCUUCGGGUCUAGUGGCGCACGGGUGCGUAACGCGUGGGAAUCUGCCCCUUGGUUCGGAAUAACAGCUAGAAAUGACUGCUAAUACCGGAUGAUGACGAAAGUCCAAAGAUUUAUCGCCGAGGGAUGAGCCCGCGUAGGAUUAGCUAGUUGGUGAGGUAAAGGCUCACCAAGGCGACGAUCCUUAGCUGGUCUGAGAGGAUGAUCAGCCACACUGGGACUGAGACACGGCCCAGACUCCUACGGGAGGCAGCAGUGGGGAAUAUUGGACAAUGGGCGAAAGCCUGAUCCAGCAAUGCCGCGUGAGUGAUGAAGGCCUUAGGGUCGUAAAGCUCUUUACCAGGGAUGAUAAUGACAGUACCUGGAGAAUAAGCUCCGGCUAACUCCGUG
rnacentral:rRNA from 1 species